CCUACGGGGGCUGCAGUGGGGAAUAUUGGACAAUGGGCGAAAGCCUGAUCCAGCCAUGCCGCGUGUGUGAAGAAGGCCUUCGGGUUGUAAAGCACUUUCAGUGGGGAAGAAAGCCUUGGGGCUAAUACCCUCGAGGAAGGACAUCACCCACAGAAGAAGCACCGGCUAACCCCGUGCCAGCAGCCGCGGUAAUACGGAGGGUGCGAGCGUUAAUCGGAAUUACUGGGCGUAAAGCGCGCGUAGGCGGUCUGAUAAGCCGGUUGUGAAAGCCCCGGGCUCAACCUGGGAACGGCAUCCGGAACUGUCAGGCUAGAGUGCAGGAGAGGAAGGUAGAAUUCCAGGUGUAGCGGUGAAAUGCGUAGAGAUCGGGAGGAAUACCAGUGGCGAAGGCGGCCUUCUGGACUGACACUGACGCUGAGGUGCGAAAGCGUGGGUAGCAAACAGGAUUAGAUACCCGAGUAGUC
rnacentral:rRNA from 1 species